UGGAGGGCGGGGGUGAUGAUGUGAUUGGCAUGUUGGCGGUUGAUGUGCGGUUGGUAGGAGGGAGGACAGCCAUCACAAUUUUAUCCAGGCAGGGCAGGUAGCCUCACAGCUUAGAUUGUUCUUUGAGGUUGAAGUUGAUAGUCUAUUCAAGCAGUCUCAAGCAGAUAUAAAAGAGACACACGACAGACGGCACAGACCAACAGCGUGUUGGUCAACUCAGCACUGUCUGCCUGACAGCAUCUAUAAAGAAUAGAUAGAAAUCAUAGAUAAAACAAAGAAAUUAAAUAAAUAAAAAAAAGGUUCUAGAAAAAGAUAGUGUCUUAACAGACAAU
rnacentral:lncRNA from 1 species